GCACAGCGGAAGACUGUUUAAUAAAAGGCUCAGCCGUAUCAAAGUCCAGCAAUGUGCGGGGACGCGGCCUAUCCAUAUCUGUAUAUUACAUCAUUUUAGCUGUCACUAACAAGGGAGAUAACUGUAGAUCUGCACCAGCAGAGAGCACCAGCAUUGAUAUGUAUUUAGCCCAGCAACAGCUCCAGUCCGGCCUGCAGGAGCUCCAGUCCAGGGCGACCCUUCUUCUCUCCUGACCCCAAGCUACUCCCCUAGACCUCCGGCCUCAAAGGGUCAGCAGUGUUUAACAAUGCCGUUCUGCAGGAAAUUAUGUCCGUGUCGAGUUUCCCACACUUGCAUCUGAGUAGUUUUGUUUAGCUGGAGUGCCUGAGUGGGACGAGUGCUAAUGACACCAGGAGUUAUAGCAGUAGUUUUGGUAACGCUAACAGUUAGUUCUCGAUGUUGGACAUCACGAAGAAUGACCAGUUAAAUAAAGUGUUCCAUUUUUUUAUGGGAAGAACAGAAAUUCAGCAAAGAAUUUGAGAAAAUCAAGAAACAAUUCAAGCCAUAAAUUCAACAGUGUUACCUUGCCAAGGGGAAUACUUUUGAUGUUGAUAGUGCGGGCAACAGUAGCUGUGCGGACUUUCACGGUUUGUCCUUUCAGGGGAAAAAGUGUCCUAAGAGAAUGCGCUUUUGACGCUAAUGCUGACAAAGGCAGUAAUGACUAGGUUGUGAACAUACAGAACACGAUACAUCAAUGGGGUGUGUUCUUCUGGCGCGAAAUCCGCGAAAUAUUGAAAACACUCUGCUAAAAGCGAACACGUGCGUUUUGUUACGAGAACUUGAAACUCCGAGCCCAAAGGGCAUCGUAUUGAUUCGAGGCUAAAGAAGGCCUUGAAAUAUGACAGCAUUUUUGUUGUAUGAUCCAGUGCGCCAUUCGACGCUCAACCGAAGUUAAUCAGAACUCAAACUCAAUCCUUAACAAUAUCAGUGAGGCCAGCGUGUCAUCUCAGCUUGUUGAGCUUCAGCAAACAUUAUGAGCCAACAAGACAAACAUUAUUGUACAAUCCCGACCCCCUUUUGCAAAAAUACUACAACUCUUCAGAAAUUCAGCACGAAAUCCUCUUGUGUCAGCCUUACACGCUUCCUAUCAAGAUAUUUUCCCAUGUUUGCUUCAUCAACACUUCCAACAGCGGAUCCUUGGUAUUUUAGACUUCCAUUCCAGCGUGGAUGGGGCUUAGCAAUAAAUUGAUGGUGGGAAACGACAAAUUGUUCGGGACGAGUCGCUCGAACGGAAACGAUCUGAUCCAACAGAUAGCUGAUAGUGAUCCGUCGAAUAAUGUGACUGACCUCGAUAUGUUGCUUUUAAAUAAUGCGAACCUUACACGAGAAGAACAGUCUGCGAGCAAUUUAGGCCAUUUAACAACCGUUAUUGUCUGGAAUUCACGGCUUUUGGUUGACAAAUUUGGCGUCGGGACUCGCUCUUUCUCUGUCUACGGCAGCAGCAGCAGAAACAACAAAAAACAGGUAGUAUUUGAGGGGUGCUCUGGGAUACGGGUUUCAAUGUAUGUGCUUAAAGUGUCAUCCCUGAUUAGCCUGUGCAGACUGCACAUACAUUAAGUCCUAUUAAAGUGUCAACCCUGAUUAGCCUGUGCAGACUGCACAUACAUUGAGUCCCAUUUCACCAAAAUGAGGCUCAUAUAGUGUAUCAGUCUUCUUUCUGCCGGAUUAAGGAAAAGUUCCUAGCAUCAAAUGGGAAUUUUGUGUUUUUAAACUUAUCAAACUUGGUAAAUAAAAAGCAAAUAACAGUUGAUAUCAUAUCAGUUUAAAUCACAGGUCAGCGCACAGUGUUGUCUAUUUUUCAGCCAAAGGUCAGCCCCUGAACCCAAAGUUUAUCAUUGUAUAACAAAAAUUAAUAUAAUUUAAUAUAAUUGUUUCAUUCCUUUUAAUUUUAGUAAAACAUUUAUUUAAUGCCUUUAGUACAUUAAACAAUUAUUUUCUUUAUUUAUUUUCAAUAUGUAUUUAAGUGCCUGCAUUUUGUUUUAAGAGGCGGU